AGUGAACGCUGGCGGUAGGCCUAACACAUGCAAGUCGAACGGCAGCACAGUAAGAGCUUGCUCUUACGGGUGGCGAGUGGCGGACGGGUGAGGAAUACAUCGGAAUCUACUUUUUCGUGGGGGAUAACGUAGGGAAACUUACGCUAAUACCGCAUACGACCUACGGGUGAAAGCAGGGGAUCUUCGGACCUUGCGCGAUUGAAUGAGCCGAUGUCGGAUUAGCUAGUUGGCGGGGUAAAGGCCCACCAAGGCGACGAUCCGUAGCUGGUCUGAGAGGAUGAUCAGCCACCCUGGACCUGAGACACGGUCCAAACUCCUACGGGAGGCAGCAGUGGGGAAUAUUGGACAAUGGGCGCAAGCCUGAUCCAGCCAUACCGCGUGGGUGAAGAAGGCCUUCGGGUUGUAAAGCCCUUUUGUUGGGAAAGAAAAGCAGCAGGUUAAUACCCCGCUGUUCUGACGGUACCCAAAGAAUAAGCACCGGCUAACUUCGU
rnacentral:rRNA from 1 species